UACGUAGGGUGCGAGCGUUAAUCGGCAUUACUGGGCGUAAAGCGUGCGCAGGCGGUUUUGUAAGCCAGAUGUUACAUCCCCGGGCUUAACCUGGGAACUGCAUUUGUGACUGCAAGACUAGAGUGCGGCAGAGGGGGGUAGAAUUCCACGUGUAGCAGUGAAAUGCGUAGAUAUGUGGAGGAAUAACGAUGGCGAAGGCAGCCCCCUGGGUCGACAAUGACGCUCAUGCACGAAAGCGUGGGGAGCAAACAGG
rnacentral:rRNA from 1 species